rnacentral:rRNA from 1 species
AGUGGCGCACGGGUGCGUAACGCGUGGGAACCUGCCCUUAGGUUCGGAACAACAGUUAGAAAUGACUGCUAAUACCGGAUAAUGUCUUCGGACCAAAGAUUUAUCGCCUUUGGAUGGGCCCGCGUAAGAUUAGGUAGUUGGUGGGGUAAUGGCCUACCAAGCCGACGAUCUUUAGCUGGUCUGAGAGGAUGAUCAGCCACACUGGGACUGAGACACGGCCCAGACUCCUACGGGAGGCAGCAGUGGGGAAUAUUGGAUAAUGGGCGAAAGCCUGAUCCAGCAAUGCCGCGUGAGUGAUGAAGGCCUUAGGGUUGUAAAGCUCUUUUACCAGGGAUGAUAAUGACAGUACCUGGAGAAUAAGCUCCGGCUAACUCCGUGCCAGCAGCCGCGGUAAUACGGAGGGAGCUAGCGUUGUUCGGAAUUACUGGGCGUAAAGCGCACGUAGGCGGCGACUCAAGUCAGAGGUGAAAGCCCGGGGCUCAACCCCGGAACUGCCUUUGAAACUAGGUUGCUAGAAUCCUGGAGAGGCGAGUGGAAUUCCGAGUGUAGAGGUGAAAUUCGUAGAUAUUCGGAAGAACACCAGUGGCGAAGGCGACUCGCUGGACAGGUAUUGACGCUGACGUGCGAAAGCGUGGGGAGCAAACGGAUUACAUACCCUGGUAGUCCACGCCGUAAACGAUGAUAACUAGCUGUCCGGGUU